rnacentral:rRNA from 1 species
UACGGAAGGGGGCUAGCGUUGCUCGGAAUCACUGGGCGUAAAGCGCACGUAGGCGGAUUGCUAAGUCAGGGGUGAAAUCCUGGAGCUCAACUCCAGAACUGCCCUUGAUACUGGCGGUCUCGAGUCCGGGAGAGGUGGAGUGGAACUGCGAGUGUAGAGGUGAAAUUCGUAGAUAUUCGCAAGAACACCAGUGGCGAAGGCGGGAUCGUCUGGACAGUUCCGUGACGCUGAAGCACGAAGGCCAGGGGAGCAAACGG